CAGCCAUACCGCGUGGGUGAAGAAGGCCUUCGGGUUGUAAAGCCCUUUUGUUGGGAGAGAAAAGCAUUCGGUUAAUACCCGGGUGUUCUGACGGUACCCAAAGAAUAAGCACCGGCUAACUUCGUGCCAGCAGCCGCGGUAAUACGAAGGGUGCAAGCGUUACUCGGAAUUACUGGGCGUAAAGCGUGCGUAGGUGGUGGUUUAAGUCCGUUGUGAAAGCCCUGGGCUCAACCUGGGAAUUGCAGUGGAUACUGGAUCACUAGAGUGUGGUAGAGGAUAGUGCAAUUUCCGGUGUAGCAGUGAAAUGCGUAGAGAUCGGAAGGAACAUCUGUGGCGAAGGCGACUAUCUGGGCCAACACUGACACUGAGGCACGAAAGCGUGGGGAGCAAACAGGAUUAGAUACCCUGGUAA
rnacentral:rRNA from 1 species